rnacentral:lncRNA from 10 species
UCAGAAUCGGGGGAGGAAGGUGAGAGAGGAAAGCAGAAUCCAAGAAAAGCCUUCCCUGGGAAGCACAGACGUGGCCUUGGGGCCUGGGGCUGAGAAGCCGGUCAGGAAGGGGCAGGCGGACACGGGGCCUCGGGGCCUGGGGCUGAGAAGCCGGUCAGGAAGGGGCAGGCAGACACUGCCUCUGCUGGUUGUGGGUUCAGGGCUGACGUGGCUGUGACGCACUCUGCUCAGGGUUCAGCGGGUCCUGGGUGCAGUGGUGGAGCUGUCACUGCUCACAUCCUCAUGGAACCACGUGCCAGUGACGGGGAUAGAUUUGCAGCCAGCAGCACAGCCAGACACGAGGGGCUGAGGAGGAGUCAGCAGACCAUGUAUUUGUUGUUGUUCUAAGAAACCUUUUCACUCGUCCUGCUUUGGUGACAUUCUCUCUUGAGGUGAAGCUUUAGGAAAACAGGGUCCAAGAUGGACAAACAGGAUGCUUUACGGAAUGGUCAGUGUUUUUCCAGCAUGGCCCCACCCCUGCUGGGAUGGUCCGCGGCCAUUGUGAAAAACAAGUGAGUUGGAAACUCACCCAGUUCCCAGUCAGCCCAGAGUCAGGGAAUAAAUGGACAACCAGAGAGAGCCAGAGUCGCUACAGCCAGCCUGGCAGUGCAAGCCCGGAGCUGACACAGGGCCACAGCCACGAUGCAGCCACUAAUGCGGACCCUUGGGCUGAGCCUGCUUUCCAUGCUGUGAGCCCAGGGGACCCAGAUGGUUCCUGUCCCCGCUGAGAAGGUGGAAGGACUGUGGCACGCCCUGCGCUGGGAGCAGGACAGGGAGCUACUUAAAGAGGAGACGGCUCACCCUCUGCCACCAUUCUGGAUCCAGCGUUUCCAGGGUAACUUUAUGUUAAAAAUGAAUGUAAGAUGGGACAGUCCAGUUGCAGGAAAAUGAGCUCAGGGCUCCCACCGAUUCUACACUAUGGGAUCCCACUGGGAACUGCACAGUAUUUAAGACACUGCUGGUGAAAACAGACAACUCUACCACGUACAGAAUCUGUGAGUAGCUGCCAGGCAGCAGAGCCACAGUCCCAGCAGCUCCCACACUCCAGCAUCUGGCCACCAGCCCUGGGGGCACGCGGACACCCAUCCAGCAGCUCCUGGCAGGCUGUGCUGACUCACCUCCGCCAGCCUCCAGGGCAGGCACUCAGCCCUCCUGGGGUCCUGUGCCCUCCGCCUGAUCCCCACUUAUUACACAGGGAAAGAAGGACUCAGCCCAUCCCUGGGUCCCAUGGACAGCAUUUCCUGGGCCCGUGGUCCCUCCCUGGCAUUUUGGAGUCAUUUACAAGGCACGUUCUCCUCGCCGGGCCCUGGCAGAGUCCAGUGGCCUCUGUGGCAUCCCGGAAGCUGUGUUUUCAUCAGCCCUGCAGAGAAGCUGUCCAAGGCCAGCAUCUGACCCCUCUGACCUCCGUCAGCCAGAGCGGAGGAAGCAGCAUCUGGGGGGGACUCUCACCGGCCUGGAGAUGCACUUGGGGCUCACCCACUCACUGCCACCAUCCUGCCUCCCCGAGUGCUCUCAGCUUCUGACUCGGGGCCCCUCCCAUUUCCUAUAGAGGGACAGAAAUUAUUAGCAUUUCAGACUCAUAGACUCAACUUAAAAAGGGCGCAACCACCCAGCUCACAAGAGCACAUCCUCCGCCCCUCCCAGCGGGGGAGCAGGAGGUCUGCAUCUGUCCGUGGAGACGGACCACUACUACAUCAUGAACACCCGGGAUGAGAGGAGGGACCCGGCCGUGCACACAAUGAACCUGACAGGCGCGUGUCCACGCUGAUGUCACGGGGCCUGUGGACGGGGGCCUGUGGACGGGGGCGCUGCCCCUUGGAGUCCUCCCUAACUCAGCCAUGCCCAGAUUCCUGCGUGGUCGGCUGUAACUGAGGUGAGUGCCACAAGGCCUCUGCGUGUGUUCAGAGUGUCCACACCAGACUCCGGCCGGACUCAUGGGCCCUGGGACUCCGCAGCCCUCGACCUUGGCAGCCUCCUUGCCUGUGGGUGCUUGAAUGCCACGCAGCAUCCGACACAUCCCACAACCUUGAGUCUGCUAUGAGUCAAGUGUGGUCGCUGUAGAUAAGGAGGAAAAAAGAUCAUGAAAAAGAACAACAACAACAAAAAAUCACUCAUGGCCGGGCGCGGUGGCUCAUGCCUGUAAUCCCAGCACUUUGGGAGGCCAAGGCAGGCAGAACACGAGGUCAAGAGAUCAAAACCAUCCUGGCUAACACGGUGAAACCCUGUCUCUACUAAAAAUACAAAAUAUUAGUCAGGUGUGGCGGCAGGCGCCUAUAAUCCCAGCUACUCGGGAGGCUGAGGCAGGAGAAUGGCGUGAACCCAGGAGGUGGAGCUUGCAGUGAGCCGAGAUCGCGCCACUGCACUCCAGCCUGGGCAACAGAGCAAGACUCCAUUUCAAAAACAAACAAACAAAAAUCACUCCUAAGCUCACCACCCAGGCCAAUGUACUCCAGAAAAAGGGAGAAGGCUUCACCACCUCCCUGUGUGAUUUCAUGUCCCAAGCUCUGUGUCUCAGGGUGUAGGAAGCCCUCUGUUGAAUAAGUCCACCCUCCCUGGCCACAGCCUUAGUCCUACUUGCUGUUUGGGAACAGAAGAUCCCUGCCCGGUGCCUACAGAGGGGUGGGCAGAGGCUGAAACCCUCCUCCAUCUUCCCUCCCAGGCCCCAGGAGCCGAAGAUUCCUCUUCUCACGACAUGAAGCUCCCCUCCCCUCCUCCAGUCCUCAGCUUUCCUUUCUAAGAGAGAAGAGACCGGGGCCUGGGCAGUGAGUGGACAGGACUGUCCCCCUGUCCUCCUCUGUAGGUGCACGCCCCUACAGGUGACACCUCUGGGUCCUCCACACCCUCAGUAGGAGCUCCAGGGCAUGGCUGGUCUCCCAGCCACACGGGAAGCCACAGGAUCCCCAUGGGACAUCCCCAGCCACGUGCCACACUCAGUAACCACCCGUGGGCUUGUGUGCAAAUCCCUGAAGUCAGUGAUGGCUCAAAUGUCGUCUCUGCCACCGUGGAGGUUGGCCAUGGGGGAAAGGUGACGGGGGCAGAAGGGUGAGGGCUCCAAGUGGCUCGAGGAAGGGGCCAUGGUGUGAGCAGGGGCACGGGCGGGCAGUCAAGGAGCUGGGAAGGGCCAGCCAGUCCUGCCCUGGAGCCUCCGGGAGGAGCCAGCGCUGCGGACACCUUGGCUGUAGCCAGGGAGGCUCACUUUGGACUUCCAACCUCCACACCUGUCAGAGGCCACGAGUGUUUAGCCAUUAAAGAAACCUCCAGGGGCUGCGGUGACAAAUGACCACAGACUCAGGAGCUGAACACAACGCACAUGCAUUGUCUCACAAUUCUGGAGUCAAAAGUCUAGAAACAGUCGGUGGGGCUGGUUCCUUCUGGAGACUUCUGGGAAGGGGAGAAGCCGCUUUCUUGGCUUUCCCAGUUUCUGGAGUGGCUGCAUCCUGCACUCUCGGCCCCGCCAUGCCACCAAGGCCUCCGUUUCUGUAGCCUCUGCUGCUCUCUGGCAUCUGCACGGUUGCCCCGAAGCCGCUCCGCGACGGCCCUCCCUGAGCUGUGUAGCGCUGGGGGGAGGAGGCGUGGCCACAGUGGGCUGCAUUCAGGAUCUUGAAAGCCACUGAAGCCAUGGCUGGCUCUCAGUCCUCAGGGAGCCUCUUCCCCUGCCUGGCACCAGGCUCCCAGAAUCUGGGAGGCAGCCUCUUCAUCUGGCUGCUGGUGGAGACCUGAGCCCAGCCCCAGGGUCCUCAGUCCUGCCCCUUGUCCUCCGCAAGCUCUCACUACAUCCUACCUAUGUCCAGGGACCUCGGCCCAUGCAUCUGCCCAGAUCCCAGCCUACCCGAGAGCAUGCAUCCCCAACUGGACCAGCACCCAACACAGCCCAGGGCUCCCCUGACCCACAUAAACCUUGUUAAUAUUGCCUCUGUGGUCUCUGCUUGUUGCCUGAGGGGUGGAGGUGGGGGGUAUCUGCUCAGACUGGCUCCAGCGCGUCCUAAGGCCAGGCCCUUCCCAAAGGAGAGUGAAGCCAGGCCCCAUGAGUCCCAGCUGGACAGGAAG